UACCAGCGCCCCGAGUGGUCGGGACGUUUAUUGGGCCUAAAGCAUCCGUAGCCGGUUCUGCAAGUCUUCCGUUAAAUCCACCUGCUCAACAGAUGGGCUGCGGAGGAUACUAUAGAGCUAGGAGGCGGGAGAGGCAAGCGGUACUUAGUGGGUAGGGGUAAAAUCCGUUGAUCCAUUGAAGAACACCAGUGGCGAAGGCGGCUUGCCAGAACGCACUCGACGGUGAGGGAUGAAAGCUGGGGGAGCAAACCGG
rnacentral:rRNA from 1 species